rnacentral:rRNA from 1 species
GACGAACGCUGGCGGCGUGCUUAACACAUGCAAGUCGAACGGAAAGGCCCUGCUUUUGUGGGGUGCUCGAGUGGCGAACGGGGGAGUAACACGUGAGUAACCUGCCCUUGACUUUGGGAUAACUUCAGGAAACUGGGGCUAAUACCGGAUAGGAUCUCCUGCUGCAUGGUGGGGGUUGGAAAGUUUCGGCGGUUGGGGAUGGACUCGCGGCUUAUCAGCUUGUUGGUGGGGUAGUGGCUUACCAAGGCUUUGACGGGUAGCCGGCCUGAGAGCGUGACCGGGGACAUUGGGCCUGAGAUACGGCCCAGAAUCCUACGGGAGGCAGUGGGCGAGAACCUUGCGCAGUGGGCGCGCGCCUGAGGCAGAAACCUCGGGUGCGGGAUGACGGCUUUCGGGUUGAAAACAGCUUUCGCCUGUGACGAAGCGUGAGUGACGGUAAUGGGUAAAGAAGCACCGGCUAACUACGUG